CUCCUAUAUUCAACACUAAAAGCAGCCCUUCUUUUUGCUUCCUCUUCAUUUCCCUUUCGUUGCAAUUUGAUUUCUUUGGGAAACUACUUUUUUUUUCUUUUAAUUUUAUAUUAAACCCUUUUUUUCAAUCAUUGAUUGAAACCCAUACUGAAUUUCUCAAAUUUUGGUCUAUAUUAAAGAGGAGCUUCGUUCAAUUUAAAAGACAUAUGAUCAUUGUUUCUUUUGCACGUAUCAAGUGGGGGACGAUACAAUGAUUCUAACGAAGCAGUAUCGUUGCGUACACUCGUCUAGUUGUCAAUGCACGAAAGGGCAUCUAAGUGAAGAUGUGAUUUUUCUAGUGUUUCGACAAUUGAAUUGGAAUCCCAAGUUGAUCGCCGCUCUUUCGUGUGUAUGCAAAUGGUUUGAUGAUCUUGCUAAGAGAGUAUUAUGGAAGGAGUUUUGCAAAACAAGGGCCCUAAAAAUGAUGCUUGAUCUGCAAUCUUGUGGAAGUCACAGUGUUGAUGGGAACUGGAGAGCACUCGGAAAGUUGCUUAUUUAUUGCUCGGGAUGUAGUGGUGGUCGAUUGUUCAAUAGUAUUCAAAUCCCAGGUCAUUUUGUUUAUAGGACUAGGUUCUCAAGGACAUCGGGGAAGAGUUUCCUUUUACCACAUUGCAGAACGGAUGUUUUAUAUGUGUCCGACCCUUGUGAACAUCUCGACCAAGGGGAUGAUGGGGAUGUGGGAUUUUUCCGAGGUGUGUUCAAGUCAUUCAUGGUUUCAAAGGUUCGGAGGAUGUUGAUCAACAGGGGUGCCCAGCUUCAUCCAACAGCAGUGUGCCCCUAUUGUAAGGCAAAGAUGUGGAACAUGUUACAAGCUAAUAUGGUACCGCUGACUGCAAGCUGUAAGUUAGGUGCUUACGAGGAUUCUAUUGAGUAUUAUGUCUGUCUUAAUGGACAUAUGCUUGGCAUUUGCACCCUUUUACCUUUGUCUGAUUCCGAAGAGGCAUCUGAAUCAGAGUGAUAUGUUAGAAUGCAAAUCCGGUAAUCUCUCACAGGAAGAUUGUUUAUAUUGUCAUUUGCAGAUUGAUCUCAUGGUGGAUUAGAGUCAAGAUCUUCAUGUUUCUCCGGACCUGAAAUCGAGCAUCAUAGCUUGGUCUCUACACUCUGACCUCUGGACCGGAUUUGCAAGAGCUGAGAAAAGAGGUUUCCCGUUUUUAUCAAAAUGGUAGUUUGAGUUCGAGUUAGACUUGAAACUGACUUUAUAACUUAAGAUCUCAACAUAAAACUUCUGUCAUCUUAAUCACUCUACGCUAUAAUUGGGAUAAAGCAGGGUAAACGUAUCAUGGUGGCCUCUUAAGUAA